rnacentral:rRNA from 1 species
AACGAACGCUGGCGGCAUGCCUAACACAUGCAAGUCGAACGAACCCUUCGGGGUUAGUGGCGCACGGGUGCGUAACGCGUGGGAAUCUGCCCUUGGGUUCGGAAUAACAGUUAGAAAUGACUGCUAAUACCGGAUGAUGUCUUCGGACCAAAGAUUUAUCGCCCAGGGAUGAGCCCGCGUAGGAUUAGGUAGUUGGUGGGGUAAAGGCCUACCAAGCCGACGAUCCUUAGCUGGUCUGAGAGGAUGAUCAGCCACACUGGGACUGAGACACGGCCCAGACUCCUACGGGAGGCAGCAGUGGGGAAUAUUGGACAAUGGGCGCAAGCCUGAUCCAGCAAUGCCGCGUGAGUGAUGAAGGCCUUCGGGUCGUAAAGCUCUUUUACCCGGGAUGAUAAUGACAGUACCGGGAGGAAUAAGCUCCGGCUAACUCCGUGCCAGCAGCCGCGGUAAU